UUGGGCGCGGUGAUUAUAAAAGUAAUUCCUCGUUCUGAAUGUCGAUUCUUGUCGGAUAGGAGGACUUUAUUACACCCAUAGAAUCUGAGCGCU
rfam:Zostera marina strain Finnish scaffold_194, whole genome shotgun sequence.